rnacentral:rRNA from 1 species
CGGAGGGUGCAACGUUGCUCGGAAUCAUUGGGCGUAAAGCGCACGUAGGCGGCGAAGCAAGUUGGGUGUGAAAGCCCUGGGCUCAACCCAGGAAGUGCAUUCAAAACUGCUUCGCUUGAAUCUCGGAGGGGGUCAGAGAAUUCCCGGUGUAGAGGUGAAAUUCGUAGAUAUCGGGAGGAAUACCAGUGGCGAAGGCGCUGACCUGGACGAAGAUUGACGCUGAGGUGCGAAAGCGCGGGGGAGCAAACAGGAUU